rnacentral:lncRNA from 1 species
GCCAUUUUAUCAGUAACCAAUGGGUUUCUGUGCUCCACUGACCUUGAAGUCAAUACCAGUGCCAAGAGCUCACUGUCUGCUGUUUCUUCUUGCAUUAUUGGUUUGAGAACCAUAAAAAUCUUCUGCUUUGAAAUCUGCUUAUUUCUUCAUUGUUUCUGACAGGAGGGGGAAAAAAGCCCCUGAAGAUCAGAUGGCUUAAUUAAGUGUCAUUUGGAUUGGAGGAUGGGGGGUGCAGGGAGAACAUUUGAGUGGUGCUGCCAUGUGAAUACGAGUCUGGCUGGCUGUGGCUUCCCAAAGGGUGACUCCAGUCCUCACGGGAAUUAGCCCAGUCGGUGUUUUCAUUGCUGAGGGGGCACAGGAUAAUGCUGCUAUCAGCUUCGUUAUUUACUUCAUCUCUGGCUCACUCAGC